rnacentral:rRNA from 1 species
GAUGAACGCUGGCGGCGUGCCUAACACAUGCAAGUCGAACGGAGUCCAGCCUUAGAGACCUUCGGGUCAAAGAGGGGAAGACUGAGUGGCGGACGGGUGAGUAACACGUGGGCAACCUGGCUCAUAGAGGGGGAUAACAGAGAGAAAUUUCUGCUAAUACCGCAUAAGCACACACUGCCGCAUGGCAGCGUGUGAAAAGAGAAUCGCUAUGAGAUGGACCCGCGUCUGAUUAGCCAGUUGGCAGGGUAAGAGCCUACCAAAGCGACGAUCAGUAGCCGAUUUGAGAGGAUGAACGGCCACAUUGGGACUGAGACACGGCCCAAACUCCUACGGGAGGCAGCAGUGGGGGAUAUUGCACAAUGGGGGGAACCCUGAUGCAGCGACGCCGCGUGAGUGAAGAAGUAUUUCGGUAUGUAAAGCUCUAUCAGCAGGGAAGAUAAUGACAGUACCUGAAUAAGAAGCCCCGGCUAACUACGUG